CGGAGCAGCCGCAGCUCUCAACCCGCAGAGGACGCCCAGAGCUGCAAGCCGGCGGGCGGACUGACCCACCGACUCGCGCCGCGUCCAC
rnacentral:other from 1 species